CACCAGUUGGUGAGUUGGAAAAUACUCCCUCCGUUCCUAAAUAUUUGUCUUUCUAGGUAUUUCAACAAGUGACUACAUACGGAGCAAAAUGAAUGAAUCUACAUUCUAAAAUAUGUCUAUAUACAUCCGUAUGUGAUAGUUCAUUGAAAUAUCUAGAAAGACAAAUAUUUAGGAACGGAGGAAGUACUACAGAUAGAGAAGCUGCAAACACGCGGGAAGUUCAUGUUAUGCCGCUGCUUCAUAUUCUCCUUGGAGGUGGAUGGAGCGUGCAGAUAUCAUUUUCUUCUUGGUGGGUGGUUUCGAUCACUCUCCACCAUCUGUGCAUUAAUCCAAUACAAUUACAGGGACUAGUCCUCCCGGCUCCCUUCCCACCGCAUGCGUGGGCAUGGCUACGCCAUACCUGCCACUGCUUCCGUGUGCGGUGCGCUGGCUGCCAGGUCCUUGAUUAAUUAUACUCGUGUAGUUUCUUCCUGUAACAUUAUUUAUUUAUGACGCAGGCGCUAGCAGCCUUGUUUAAAAACGAACUGUGGUGCCUGUUAUAACUUGUAAAGUCUGUUCCUGUAAUUUUAAAGAUGCUGGGUGUGAAAGUAGAAGCUUCCUUGUAUGUCAGUAUGUGGACGCUGGGCCUCUGUUCUUUAAUCUGUGCCAGAAUUGCCAUUCUUCGGGUAAGGCAAUAGUGCACAUUUUCCUGACAGACUGUGUUCAUUCUGGUCAGCGAGUGAAAUGCAU
rnacentral:lncRNA from 1 species